AGAUUCAUUUCUAUGGGCUGGGGAAGACUACCCAGGAACAGCUUCAUCAGAUUGCAGAAUUUGCGAGAUUCUGCCGUGUGAAGUGUUUCUAAAAUCAAGGACUUUGCUUCAAAAUGCAUGAAAAAACAAGCAAAUGUCUACGUUCUCCUGACUGCUCAUCCACUAUUAUUACUGCACUCCCACCAUCUGAAUGCACCUUUGCUUCUACUAAUGGUGAUUGACCCCUCCAUUUUAGCUUGAGGUAGAGAACAUUAUGACAUUAUAAGGGUAAUGUUAGCAACCGUACUGCAGAACAUCUGAUUGUUCAGCCAAUAUCUCUGCCAUUAAUUGGCUUGGCAUUGCUGGGGGGAAGCCACUAUGACCUAUGACUAGCAAGCUUUGCUAUUUGGAAGGAAAACCGUCUCUAGGCAGUCGUAAUAUGAUUCACAGAUGAACUGGAAGAAUGGGGAAAUAUUUCCAUUGCUCCAGCAGCUCCCUAAAGGGAUGUUAUUGCAUAAGGUUCAGCAGCUGACUUGGGAAGAAAACAGGAAAAAUAG